GGCCGCGUGGCCUAAUGGCUAAGGCGCCAGAUUUCGGCUCAAGUCAGACUCUGGAGAUUCCAUGUUCGAAUCAUGGUGCGGUCG